GACGAACGCUGGCGGCGUGCUUAACACAUGCAAGUCGAACGGAAAGGCCCUGCUUUUGUGGGGUGCUCGAGUGGCGAACGGGUGAGUAACACGUGAGUAACCUGCCCUUGACUUUGGGAUAACUUCAGGAAACUGGGGCUAAUACCGGCUAGGAGCUCCUGCUGCAUGGUGGGGGUUGGAAAGUUUCGGCGGUUGGGGAUGGACUCGCGGCUUAUCAGCUUGUUGGUGGGGUAGUGGCUUACCAAGGCUUUGACGGGUAGCCGGCCUGAGAGGGUGACCGGCCACAUUGGGACUGGGAUACGGCCCAGACUCCUACGGGAGGCAGCAGUGGGGAAUAUUGCACAAUGGGCGGAAGCCUGAUGCAGCAACGCCGCGUGCGGGAUGACGGCCUUCGGGUUGUAAACCGCUUUCGCCUGCGACGAAGCGUGAGUGACGGUAAUGGGUAAAGAAGCACCGGCUAACUACGUG
rnacentral:rRNA from 1 species